GUCUAUGGCCUUACCACCCUGAACACACCCAAUCGCGCCUGGUGUCGGAAGCUAGGCAGAGUUGGGCCUGGUCAGUACUUGAAUGAGAGACUGGCUGGGAAUACCGGGUGCUGUAGCCU
ensembl:rRNA 5S_rRNA 5S ribosomal RNA